rnacentral:rRNA from 1 species
CCUACGGGGGGCAGCAGUCGAGAAUUAUUCACAAUGGGGGAAACCCUGAUGGUGCGACGCCGCGUGGGGGAAUGAAGGUCUUCGGAUUGUAAACCCCUGUCAUGUGGGAGCAAAUUAAAAAGAUAGUACCACAAGAGGAAGAGACGGCUAACUCUGUGCCAGCAGCCGCGGUAAUACAGAGGUCUCAAGCGUUGUUCGGAAUCACUGGGCGUAAAGUGUGCGUAGGCUGUUUCGUAAGUCGUGUGUGAAAGGCGCGGGCUCAACCCGCGGACGGCACAUGAUACUGCGAGACUAGAGUAAUGGAGGGGGAACCGGAAUUCUCGGUGUAGCAGUGAAAUGCGUAGAUAUCGAGAGGAACACUCGUGGCGAAGGCGGGUUCCUGGACAUUAACUGACGCUGAGGCACGAAGGCCAGGGGAGCGAAAGGGAUUAGAUACCCUUGUAGUC